GUAGGGUGCGAGCGUUAAUCGGAAUUACUGGGCGUAAAGGGUGCGCAGGCGGCCCCGCAAGUCAGGCGUGAAAUCCCCGGGCUUAACUUGGGAAUGGCGCUUGAAACUACGAGGCUGGAGUGUGGCAGAGGGAGGUGGAAUUCCACGUGUAGCGGUGAAAUGCGUAGAGAUGUGGAGGAACACCGAUGGCGAAGGCAGCCUCCUGGGCCAACACUGACGCUCAUGCACGAAAGCGUGGGGAGCAAACAGGAUUAGAUACCCUGGUAGUCCACGCCCUAAACGAUGAUGACUAGUUGUUGGAGGAGUUAAAUCCUUUAGUAACGCAGCUAACGCGAGAAGUCAUCCGCCUGGGGAGUACGGUCGCAAGAAUUA
rnacentral:rRNA from 1 species